rnacentral:rRNA from 1 species
GACGAACGCUGGCGGCGUGCCUAAUACAUGCAAGUCGAACGCAGUGGGGACGGGUGAGUAACACGUGGGUAACCUCCCAUCAGAGGGGAUAACACUUGGAAACAGGUGCUAAACCGAUACUGAUGGAUGGACCCGCGGUGCAUUAGCUAGUUGGUGGGGUAACGGCUCACCAAGGCCACGAGGCAUAGCCGACCUGAGCGGAUGUGCAGCCACACUGGAACUGAGACACGGCCCAGACUCCUACGGUAGGCAGCAGUAGGGAAUUUUGGACAAUGGACGAAAGUCGGACCGAGCAACGCCGCGUGAGUGAAGAAGGUUUUCGGUUCGUAAAGCUCUGUUGUCAGAGAAGCGGUAUCUACCCAGAAAGCCACGGCUAACUCCGUGCCAGAAGCCGCGGUAAUAC